GAAGCAACUAUAGAACCUUCCAAGCUGAAGUCGGCAAGAAGACUAUUUUCAGAAGUUUGGUGACUGCCGCCAUCACUACGUAAAACAGACAGCAAUUUCUUGCUGUUGAGAAGACUCAAAUUGAGCUCGUCCUCACAUAUUUGCAUCCUUCCAACAUCAAUAGUUUCUACACGAACCACGUUACUCAGAUCAGCAAGAGAUUGAGCUUUUGCUGGUGAAUCUGACCGACUUUCAAGCAAUUUGAACACAGGUUUGAAAUCUUUGUCUAGUUCCAUCAGCAAAAAGUACGAGCUUCCACAUUCUGGAAAACCCAUAAGCAACAAAUUUGUACCAGAAGAAAUGCUCUUUG
rnacentral:misc_RNA from 1 species